rnacentral:lncRNA from 1 species
GAUAACCCCACGCCCCCCUUCUCUCUACCCUCUUCUCUCUUCCAUUUCCUGUCCCCCUCCGUCGUUCGAACUUUCGCCGGCGGUAGAGAUCACCGUCGGCUUGACCCCGGCGACACAGGCAGCGCGCAGCUCCGGUCACAAGCGACCGAUCCGGCGGAUCCAUCAGACGGUACUUCUGGUUCCGACCAGAUCUGGUUUCCGCAACUUUGGAUUCCGGAGGCACUCCGGCGAAGCUCCGGCCAAUUAUCCCGGCGACCAGUUUUGGCAUCAGUUUGCUGGGACCCAACAUUCCACGCAUGAAAAGCGGAUUUGGUCUACAAGCGUAAUCCGAUUACUUCUAACCUUUGUUAUUUUAUUCUUCGUAUAAUUUCUAGUAUUAUACCCUGUAUCUUGACUUGCACUUAAUUAUUCUUCGUAUAAUUUCUAGUAUUAUACCCUGUAUCUCGAUUUAUUCCAUUGCUUGACUUAGAUAUAAUUGGUGGGUUUGACUUUUUCUUUAUUAGUACUUAUUAUACACUGUGCUUGUGCCUUCUAUUUCCUGUUGUUGCUUGAUUACUGUCGUUGUAUGUUUUUUCUGGAAGUUAUGGCUGUGGACAUUGAUGGUAGGAUAGGGUCAUGUCUGAGGGGGUUGGGGCGGGGGGCUGUUUUGAGGGUGCAGGAGUUGAUAGGCUGCGGGUUGGGCCUUGGAAUAUAGGUACUCUGCAGGGUAAGUCUAUAGAGCUAGUGAAGAUUCUUAGAAAUAGGAGGAUCAAUAUUGCGUGUGUGCAGAAGACUAAGUGGGUAGGAUCUAAGGCUAGGGAUGUGGAUCGUUACAAGCUGUGGUACUUUGGUAGCGAAAGGCGUAGGAAUGGAGUUGACAUCUUAGUAGAUGAAGAGCUUAGAGGGCAGGUAGUGGAGGUUAAGAGGAUCAGCGAUAGGUUGAUGACUGUUAAGUUGGUCAUUGGGGGGUCUACUUUGAUCGUGUGUAGUGUUUAUGCACAGCAAGUGGGCUUGGAUGGGGAGGAGAAGAUGCAGUUCUGGGAGGCGUUGGAUGAGGUGGUAAGAGGAGUGCCUAGUUCUGAGAAGAUUGUUGUAGCAGGGGAUUUCAAUGGGCAUAUUGGGGCGUUACCGGGAGGCUUUGGCGAUGUGCAUGGAGGUUUUGAUUUUGGGGAGAGAAAUGAGGAGGGAACUGCUCUGUUGGAUUUUGCAAGGUCCUUUGGGUUGGUAGUGGUGAAUUCGAGCUUCCUGAAGAAGGAUGAUCACCUGAUCACCUUUUGAAGCGCGAUAGCCAAGACGCAAAUUGACUUUUUGCUGCUCAGGAAAGGGGAUAGGGUGUUGUGUAAGGACUGUAAAGUCAUCCCGAGUGAGAAUCUUUCGAUCCAGCAUAGGCUCUUGGUGAUGGAUUUAGGUAUUAAGAAAGAUAAGAAGAGAAGGGGUGAGAAGGGUAGAUCGAGAAUUAAGUGGGGUGGCCUUACGCCGGCGAAUGCGAGGGAGAUAGGGGAGAAGGUAACGGGAAUGGGGGUGUGGGAGUGCAGGGGAACGUGGAUGGUAUGUGGGAUAGGGCGGUUAAGUGCAUCAAGGAGACUGCUAGUGAGGUGUUGGGUCUUUCCAGGGGCUGUGCCGGCCAUCAUCGGGGGGAUUAGUGGUGGAAUGAAGAAGUUAGGAAGAAAGUGGAAACUAAGAAGAGGGUGUAUGCUAAGUUGGGUGAGAGUGGGGAUGAAGAUGAGAAGCAGGCUAAUAGGGAGGAAUACAAGAUAGCUAGGAAGAAGGCUAAGUUAGCAGUCACAGCAGCUAAGACGACAGCGUUCGAGAACUUGUAUGCGGGGUUAGAGGAGAAAUGAAGGGAAAAGAGGUUGUUUCGGCUUGCUAAGGCUACGGAGAGAAAGAGUCGUGACCUCGACCAGGUGAAAUGCAGGUGAAAUGCAUUAAGGGGGAGGAUGGUAGAGUAUUGGUAGAUGAUAGUCAUAUUAAGAAGAGAUGACAAUCAUACUUCUAUAGGUUAUUGAAUGAAGAAGGGAAUACAGCUAUUGUUUUAGGGGAGCUGGGGCACACAGAGGAGUGUCGUGAUUUUAGUUAUUGUAGACGUUUUAAGGUAGAAGAGGUCACAGAGGCUGUUCGCAUGAUGCGUAAGGGUAGGGCGACGGGGCCUGAUGAGAUCCCUGUGGAUUUUUUGAAGUUCUCUGGAGAGGCUGACUUAAGGUGGUUGACUGAAUUAUUUAACGGCAUUUUCAAGUCAGUGAAAAUGCCCGAGCUUGGAAUGGAGUACUAUGAUCCCUCUUUAUAAGAAUAAGGGUGAUAUUCAGAGUUUCAAUAACUAUAGAGGUAUUAAGGUAUUGAGCCACACUAUGAAGAUUUGGAGAGAGUGGUCGAGUUGAGGUUGAGCAGGAUAGUGUCUAUCUCAGAAAAUCAGUUUGGAUUUAUGCCCGGACGCUCGAUGACGGAGGCAAUUCACCUGGUGUGCACUUGUUCCUAUAAGUUUAAAUGGCUAAUUGUGCACUUGUUCCUAUAAGUUUGGCCCAACAUAGAAAGACAAUCCAUGCUUGAUUAGUUAAGUGUAUUUCCUUAUCAUUACUAUCUCUAAUAUCUUAAGCAACAUUAUAUAAAAUUCAGUUUAUUUUGGUAAUUAUAUCUUAUUCCGAUUUUUUUAAAAUUGUGAUACACAUGUUAUAAGGUGAUACAUAUAAAAAGUGAUUCAUUUAAAACUGACUAGAUAUUUAUUUGAGGAAGUAAUAAAUUCUCUUUUAUUUUGUGGAACAAAUCACGCGCAAUCAGUUACACAAUAAAUUAACAAGAUUCCAAUACACCCAAUCAACUUUCAAAUUUCAAUUGGUGACCACUUCAGUUGAAGCAAAGCAAAGGAGCA